rnacentral:miRNA from 1 species
UUCGAUGACAUAUUUGAGCCU